CCUACGGGUGGCUGCAGUGGGGAAUAUUGGACAAUGGGGGGAACCCUGAUCCAGCCAUGCCGCGUGUGUGAAGAAGGCCCUCGGGUUGUAAAGCACUUUCAGUGAGGAAGAACGCCUGGUGGUUAAUACCCAUCAGGAAAGACAUCACUCACAGAAGAAGCACCGGCUAACUCCGUGCCAGCAGCCGCGGUAAUACGGAGGGUGCGAGCGUUAAUCGGAAUUACUGGGCGUAAAGCGCGCGUAGGUGGCUUGAUAAGCCGGUUGUGAAAGCCCCGGGCUCAACCUGGGAACGGCAUCCGGAACUGUCAAGCUAGAGUGCAGGAGAGGAAGGUAGAAUUCCCGGUGUAGCGGUGAAAUGCGUAGGGAUCGGGAGGAAUACCAGUGGCGAAGGCGGCCUUCUGGACUGACACUGACACUGAGGUGCGAAAGCGUGGGUAGCAAACAGGAUUAGAUACCCGGGUAGUA
rnacentral:rRNA from 1 species